rnacentral:rRNA from 1 species
GACGAACGCUGGCGGCGUGCUUAACACAUGCAAGUCGAACGGCAAGGCCCUGCUUUCGUGCGGUGCUCGAGGGGCGAACGGGUGAGUAACACGUGAGUAACCUGCCCUUGACUUUGGGAUAACUUCAGGAAACUGGGGCUAAUACCGGAUAGGAGCUCCCGCUGCAUGGUGGGGGUUGGAAAGUCUCGGCGGUUGGGGAUGGAUGCGCGGCUUAUCAGCUUGUUGGUGGGGUAGUGGCUUACCAAGGCAUUGACGGGUAGCCGGCCUGAGAGGGUGACCGGCGACAUUGGGACUGAGGGACGGCCCAGACUCCUACGGGAGGCAGCGGUGGGGAGUAUUGCACAGUGGGCGGGAGCCUGAUGCAGCAACGCCGCGGGCGGGAUGACGGCCUUCGGGUUGUGAACCGCUUUCGCCUGUGACGAAGCGUGAGUGACGGUAAUGGGUGAAGAAGCACCGGCUAACUACGUG